ACUUAUGCCCGUUUUCACCAACAACCUCUUACCGUUUCCCUAUCUAAAUGCUACUUUUAGUAAGGAUCCCUCCCAAUUUGACACCUACCUAAAUUCAUUUUCACCACACUUGUACAUGGAUCCCUUAAGUAAGUGACAGAUUACUAGUUCUACAAACGAUAAUGCAAAGUCGAUAUUUUAUCGAUAAAAUGUUUUUUCUGUACUUCUUAAGAAAUAAACGUCUAUCGAGUAUAUAUUACUAAAGCCUAUAAGUUUAUUUUGGCAGAGAAGAGAAAACGAGGAUAAACCUUUCUUGCAGAAGAAAAAGACAAGCUAGUGAAAUUGCUGACGUCUCAUAGAGACACAAUAUUAAACAAAAAACGGAUGGGACCACGAACGAAGCCAAAAACAAAGCUUGGAUCCAGUCACAAAUAGUUUUAAUGCGACAGGAACCCUUUACAGUUUCAGGUGGUGCGAGAAAUUGGAAAGACGUGUAAAAACAUGCUGCGCCCAGCCCACCUCAAAUUGAAUUGGUGCAGGAGGAUGAUGAUAAUGUUUGGUACAUCAUAUGAGGACUAAUAUUAAAAUAUUUAUUUAC
rnacentral:lncRNA from 1 species